rnacentral:rRNA from 1 species
UGCUUAACACAUGCAAGUCGAACGGAAAGGCCCAGCUUGCUGGGUACUCGAGUGGCGAACGGGUGAGUAACACGUGGGUGAUCUGCCCCUGACUCUGGGAUAAGCCUGGGAAACUGGGUCUAAUACCGGAUAUUCAUUUUUCCUCGCAUGGGGAUUGGUGGAAAGCUUUUGCGGUUGGGGAUGGGCCCGCGGCCUAUCAGCUUGUUGGUGGGGUAAUGGCCUACCAAGGCGACGACGGGUAGCCGACCUGAGAGGGUGAUCGGCCACACUGGGACUGAGACACGGCCCAGACUCCUACGGGAGGCAGCAGUGGGGAAUAUUGCACAAUGGGCGCAAGCCUGAUGCAGCGACGCCGCGUGAGGGAUGACGGCCUUCGGGUUGUAAACCUCUUUCAGCUCCGACGAAGCGCAAGUGACGUAGGAGC